rnacentral:rRNA from 1 species
AUACGGAGGGUGCAAGCGUUAUCCGGAUUCAUUGGGUUUAAAGGGUGCGCAGGCGGACUUGUAAGUCAGUGGUGAAAUCCCGGGGCUCAACCUCGGAACUGCCAUUGAUACUGCAAGUCUUGAGUUUGGUUGAAGUGGGCGGAAUGUAGCAUGUAGCGGUGAAAUGCAUAGAUAUGCUACAGAACACCGAUCGCGAAGGCAGCUCACUAAACCAACACUGACGCUCAGGCACGAAAGCGUGGGGAGCUAACAGGAUUAGAAACCCGAGUAGUCC